UACGGGGGGGGGGCAAGCGUUGUUCGGAAUUACUGGGCGUAAAGGGCUCGUAGGUGGCCAACUAAGUCGGACGUGAAAUCCCUCGGCUUAACCGGGGAACUGCGUCUGAUACUGGAUGGCUUGAGUUUGGGAGAGGGAUGCGGAAUUCCAGGUGGUAGCGGUGAAAUGCGUAGAUAUCUGGAGGAACACCGGUGGCAAGGCGGCAUCC
rnacentral:rRNA from 1 species